rnacentral:rRNA from 1 species
UGGGGAAUAUUGCACAAUGGGCGCAAGCCUGAUGCAGCCAUGCCGCGUGUGUGAAGAAGGCCUUCGGGUUGUAAAGCACUUUCAGCGAGGAGGAAGGUGGUGAGCUUAAUACGCUCAUCAAUUGACGUUACUCGCAGAAGAAGCACCGGCUAACUCCGUGCCAGCAGCCGCGGUAAUACGGAGGGUGCAAGCGUUAAUCGGAAUUACUGGGCGUAAAGCGCACGCAGGCGGUUUGUUAAGUCAGAUGUGAAAAUCCCCGGGCUCAACCUGGGAACUGCAUUUGAAACUGGCAAGCUAGAGUCUCGUAGAGGGGGGUAGAAUUCCAGGUGUAGCGGUGAAAUGCGUAGAGAUCUGGAGGAAUACCGGUGGCGAAGGCGGCCCCCUGGACGAAGACUGACGCUCAGGUGCGAAAAGCGUGGGGAGCAAAACAGGAUUAGAUACCCUGGUAGUCCAC